UACAGAGGUCUCAAGCGUUGUUCGGAUUCAUUGGGCGUAAAGGGUGCGUAGGUGGCGCCGUAAGUCGGAUGUGAAAUUUCGGAGCUUAACUCCGAAACUGCAUUCGAUACUGCGGUGCUUGAGGACUGGAGAGGAGACUGGAAUUCAUGGUGUAGCGGUGAAAUGCGCAGAUAUCAGGAGGAACACCGGUGGCGAAGGCGGGUCUCUGGGCCGAUACUGACGCUGAGGAGCGAAAGCGUGGGGAGCGAACAGG
rnacentral:rRNA from 1 species